rnacentral:lncRNA from 1 species
GUGAUAAGCCAUCAAUCCAAAAAGCGAGGAACGUUAUCAAAAGAUAAACAGAUAUGAAAUCGAAACCAUUCAUUGCUAAAAUAUAAAAACAUAUGUAUACUGUUUCAGGAAGUGGUUAAAAAUUUCAAGUUUUGGACAUCAAUUGAAAUCAUGUAUUAAAUGGACAUAAGGUGCCAACUAUAAUCAGGACGUGACGCACACAUCUAUGCUAUACGCCGGGACAUGCCCAUCACGAUAUAUCACAGAUGUAGUUGAGUUAAUUGGAUUUACUUAAUUUAUCAUCAUGCCAAUCGCAACAAGGAAGCUGGAUAGCACUAUCCACAGGGUGGCUAUUU